GACGAACGCUGGCGGCGUGCUUAACACGUGCAAGUCGAACGCUGAAGCUCAGCUUUUGUUGGGUGGAUGAGUGGCGAACGGGUGAGUAACACGUGAGUAACCUGCCCCCUUCUUUGGGAUAACGCCCGGAAACGGGUGCUAAUACUGGAUAUUCACUGGUCUUCGCAUGGGGGUUGGUGGAAAGGGUUUUUCUGGUGGGGGAUGGGCUCGCGGCCUAUCAGCUUGUUGGUGGGGUGAUGGCCUACCAAGGCUUUGACGGGUAGCCGGCCUGAGAGGGUGACCGGUCACAUUGGGACUGGGAUACGGCCCAGACUCCUACGGGAGGCGGCAGUGGGGAAUAUUGCAGAAUGGGCGCAAGGCUGAUGCAGCGACGCCGCGUGAGGGAUGGAGGCCUUCGGGUUGUGAACCUCUUUCGCUAAUGGUCAAGCCGCAACAAUGGUUGUGGUGAGGGUAGUGGGUAAAGAAGCGCCGGCUAACUACGUG
rnacentral:rRNA from 1 species